rnacentral:rRNA from 1 species
GAAAUUUUCAGAGAUGAGAAUGUGCCUUCGGGAACCGUGAGACAGGUGCUGCAUGGCUGUCGUCAGCUCGUGUUGUGAAAUGUUGGGUUAAGUCCCGCAACGAGCGCAACCCUUAUCCUUUGUUGCCAGCGAUUAGGUCGGGAACUCAAAGGAGACUGCCAGUGAUAAACUGGAGGAAGGUGGGGAUGACGUCAAGUCAUCAUGGCCCUUACGACCAGGGCUACACACGUGCUACAAUGGCGCAUACAAAGAGAAGCGACCUCGCGAGAGCAAGCGGACCUCAUAAAGUGCGUCGUAGUCCGGAUUGGAGUCUGCAACUCGACUCCAUGAAGUCGGAAUCGCUAGUAAUCGUGGAUCAGAAUGCCACGGUGAAUACGUUCCCGGGCCUUGUACACACCGCCCGUCACACCAUGGGAGUGGGUUGCAAAAGAAGUAGGUAGCUUAACCUUCGGGAGGGCGCUUACCACUUUGUGAUUCAUGACUGGGGUGAAGUCGUAACAAGGUAACCGUAGGGGAACCUGCGGUUGGA